UACGAGGGGGGCUAGCGUUGCUCGGAAUCACUGGGCGUAAAGGGUGCGUAGGCGGGUUUUUAAGUCAGGGGUGAAAUCCUGGAGCUCAACUCCAGAACUGCCUUUGAUACUGAAGAUCUUGAGUCCGGGAGAGGUGAGUGGAACUGCGAGUGUAGAGGUGAAAUUCGUAGAUAUUCGCAAGAACACCAGUGGCGAAGGCGGCUCACUGGCCCGGUACUGACGCUGAGGUGCGAAAGCGUGGGAAGCAAACAGG
rnacentral:rRNA from 1 species